rnacentral:rRNA from 1 species
GCUUACGGCCAUACCAACCUGGCUAUGCCCGAUCUCGUCUGAUCUCGGAAACUAAGCAGGUUUGGGCCUGGUUAGUACUUGGAUGGGAGACCGCCUGGGAAUACCAGGUGCUGUAAGCU